UGGGGAAUAUUGCACAAUGGGCGGAAGCCUGAUGCAGCAACGCCGCGUGCGGGAUGACGGCCUUCGGGUUGUAAACCGCUUUCGCCUGUGACGAAGCGUGAGUGACGGUAAUGGGUAAAGAAGCACCGGCUAACUACGUGCCAGCAGCCGCGGUGAUACGUAGGGUGCGAGCGUUGUCCGGAUUUAUUGGGCGUAAAGGGCUCGUAGGUGGUUGAUCGCGUCGGAAGUGUAAUCUUGGGGCUUAACCCUGAGCGUGCGUUCGAUACGGGUUGACUUGAGGAAGGUAGGGGAGAAUGGAAUUCCUGGUGGAGCGGUGGAAUGCGCAGAUAUCAGGAGGAACACCAGUGGCGAAGGCGGUUCUCUGGGCCUUUCCUGACGCUGAGGAGCGAAAGCGUGGGGAGCGAACA
rnacentral:rRNA from 1 species